AGACUCUGUGCGCGUGCAUAUCAAUAAGCGGAGGAAAAGAAACUAACAAGGAUUCCCUUAGUAACGGCGAGUGAAGCGGGAAGAGCUCAAAUUUGAAAUCUUCAAGGUUCUACCUUGACGAAUUGUAGUUUAUAGAAGUGUUUUCUGUUAGUAGAGUGGCAAAAGUUCUUUGGAAUAGGACAUCAUAGAGGGUGAGAAUCCCGUAUUUGGUCAUUCUUUCUAGCUUUGUGAUACACUUUCAACGAGUCGGAUUGUUGGGAAUGCAGUCCAAAAUGGGUGGUAAAUUUCAUCUAAAGCUAAAUAUUGGCGAGAGACCGAUAGCGAACAAGUACCGUGAGGGAAAGAUGAAAAGAACUUUGAAAAGAGAGUUAAACAGUACGUGAAAUUGUCAAAAGGGAAGCGUUUGACACCAGUGUUGUUUUUCCGAAAAUCAAUUACGAAUGUUUUGUUUUUAAGAAGUUAUGACUUCAUCGGCUUGCUUCUCUCUUUACGAAACUUUCUUAAUGCACUUUUCGGUUAACAAGUCAACAUCAAUUUCUUUUGUUGUAAAAGGGUACGAGGAAGGUGGCUUUCUUUUCGGAGAAAGUGUUUAUAGCCUUGUACCUCUGCAAUCGGAGAGAUUGAGGUCUGCAGCGUAGAUCCUUCGGGGUUAGAUACAUUUGUGCUAAGUUAUAGCUUUUCAUAGACAACUUGUUGACUAUGUUAAGUCUUGUAGCUUACUCGCUUAUGCUAUUUUACCUACGCUUAGGAUGUUGACAGCAGUAUAGACUGU
rnacentral:rRNA from 1 species